UACGGAGGGUGCAAGCGUUGUCCGGAUUUAUUGGGUUUAAAGGGUGCGUAGGUGGUUGUGCAAGUCUGAUGUGAAAUCUCCGGGCUCAACCCGGAAAUGGCAUUGGAAACUGCAUGGCUAGAGGGUUGGAGGGGGGACUGGAAUACUUGGUGUAGCAGUGAAAUGCGUAGAUAUCAAGUGGAACACCAGUGGCGAAGGCGAAUCCCUGGACAGACAUUGACGCUGAGGUGCGAAAGCGUGGGGAGCAAACAGG
rnacentral:rRNA from 1 species